AUGGCUACGUUCAUGUCGUCGCCGGUGGUGAUGCGUUCGGCUCGCCAGGGGCAGGUGGCCGGGCCUCGACGGUGCGUGGUGGCGCGGGCGUCCUCGACGAUGGCGGCACCGGCGGCGGUGGCGACCGGGAGGACGCACUACGAGGUGCUCGGGGUGGGCGCGGGAGCAAGCAGGGGGGAGAUCAAGGCGGCGUACCGGCGUCUGGCCAGGGAGGUGCACCCGGACGCUGCUGGCGGCGGCGGCGACGAGGGCUUCAUCCGGCUGCACGCGGCCUACGCCACGCUGGCCGACCCCGACGAGCGCGCUCGCUACGACAGGGACAUGGCCUGCCGCACCGCCGGGAUGACGAUGAGACGGGCGGCCGCGGCCGGGCCGUCGUUUCGACAGAGGACGUGGGAGACCGACCAGUGCUGGUAG
rnacentral:rRNA from 1 species